AUUGAACGCUGGCGGCAGGCCUUACACAUGCAAGUCGGACGAGUGGCGAACGGGUGAGUAAUGUCUGGGAAACUGCCGGGUGGAGGGGGAUAACUAUUGGAAACGGUAGCUAAUACCGCAUACUAUCGGAUGUGCCCAUGUGGGAUUAGCUAGUUGGUGGGGUAAAGGCUCACCAAGGCGACGAUCCGUAGCGGGUCUGAGAGGAUGACCCGCCACACUGGGACGGAGACACGGUCCAGACGCCUACGGGAGGCAGCAGUGGGGAAUAUUGCACAAUGGGCGCAAGCCUGAUGCAGCCAUGCCGCGUGUAUGAAGAAGGCCUUCGGGUUGUAAAGUACUUUCGUCAGGGAAGCGGUACCUGAAGAAGAAGCACCGGCUAACUACGUGCCAGCAGCCGCGGUAAUAC
rnacentral:rRNA from 1 species